rnacentral:rRNA from 1 species
UGAAGAGGGAAGAGCCCAAGAUUGAAAGCUGGCGCCGCAUGCCGGCGUUCCGCAUUGUAAUCUCAAGAAACGUGUGUCCGCUUCGGACCAGGCCAAAGUCCCUUGGAAAAGGGCAUCAUGGAGGGUGAAAAUCCCGUGUGUGACCUGGAGCCGCCGAAGUACUGCGACGCGUAUCUUCUCCGAGUCGAGUUGUUUGGGAAUGCAGCUCAAAACGGGUGGUAAAUGCCAUCUAAGGCUAAAUACAGGGGAGAGACCGAUAGCGAACAAGUACCGUGAGGGAAAGAUGCAAAGAACUUUGGAAAGAGAGUUAAACAGUACGUGAAAUUGCCAGAAGGGAAGGGUAGGAAGUCAGCAAUGUGGGGGCGUGGUUCAGCGGAUUUGCGGAGGGCCCUCAUCAAGCCCGAGGCAAGGCUGCGAAGACUGCGUGACUCUGCAGGCCAACGUCGGUUCUGUGGCGCGGGAAAGCGGGGCACGGGAAUGUGGCACUUUUUCACGAGAGUGUGUUUAUAGCCCGGGGCCUUUUGAGUCUGGACCAGCGACUGGGACCGUGGUUUGACAGCGU